rnacentral:misc_RNA from 1 species
UCCGGCUUCAAACACCGGCAGUUUCCUUAGAGUGCCCGGCAUUACCCGAUGGUAACUAAGGAUGAGGGUUGCGCUCGUUGCGGGACUUAACCCAACAUCUCACGACACGAGCUGACGACAGCCGUGCAACACCUGUCACUGAUCCAGCCGAACUGAAGGAAAACAUUUCUGUAAUCCGCGAUCAGGAUGUCAAAGGGUGGUAAGGUUUUUCGCGUUGCAUCGAAUUAAACCACAUGCUCCACUGCUUGUGCGGGUCCCCGUCAAUUCCUUUGAGUUUUAAUCUUGCGACCGUACUCCCCAGGCGGGGUGCUUAACGCGUUAGCUACGACACUGAAACUAAAAGUCCCAAUAUCUAGCACCCAUCGUUUACGGCGUGGACUAC